GGUAAGCUGUAGUUCAGUGGCAGAACAUCUGCUUGGCAUGCAGAAGGCCCCAGGUUGAAUCCCUGGCAGCAUCU